GAUGAAGAACGUAGCGAAAUGCGAUAAGUAGUGUGAAUUGCAGAAUUCAGUGAAUCAUCGAAUCUUUGAACGCACAUUGCGCCCCUUGGUAUUCCAUGGGGCAUGCCUGUUCGAGCGUCAUUUGUACCUUCAAGCUUUGCUUGGUGUUGGGUGUUUGUCUCGCCUUUGCGUGUAGACUCGCCUUAAAAUAAUUGGCAGCCGGCGUAUUGAUUUCGGAGCGCAGUACAUCUCGCGCUUUGCACUCAUAACGACAGCGUCCAAAAGUACAUUUUACACUCUUGACCUCGGAUCAGGUAGGGAUACCCGCUGAACUUAAGCAUAUAAUAAGCGGAGGA
rnacentral:misc_RNA from 1 species